rnacentral:misc_RNA from 1 species
GAUGAAGAACGCAGCGAAAUGCGAUACUUGGUGUGAAUUGCAGAAUCCCGUGAACCAUCGAGUCUUUGAACGCAAGUUGCGCCCGAAGCCACUAGGCCGAGGGCACGCCUGCCUGGGCGUCACACGUCGUUGCCCCCCACCAUCUACUCCUUCGGGAUUGCGGGGGGCGGAUGAUGGCCUCCCGUGCGCCUAGCCGCGCGGUUGGCAUAAAUACCAAGUCCUCGGCGACGCACGCCACGACAAUCGGUGGUUGCGAAACCUCGGUUGCCCGUCGUGUGCGUUCGUCGCGCAUCGAGGGCUCGAAAAAAUGCGCGGCUCCGGCUCGGCUUUCAACGCGACCCCAGGUCAGGCGGGGUUACCCGCUGAAUUUAAGCAUAUCAAUAAGCGGAGGA